AGAGUUUGAUCCUGGCUCAGAGCGAACGCUGGCGGCAUGCUUAACACAUGCAAGUCGCACGGUCAGCAAUGGCAGUGGCGGACGGGUGAGUAACACGUAGGAAUCUAUCCUGAGAUGGGGGACAACCAUGGGAAACUAUGGCUAAUACCGCAUGAUGCCUGAGGGCCAAAGACGCAAGUCGUCAUGGGAGGAGCCUGCGUCUGAUUAGCUUGUUGGUGGGGUAAAGGCCUACCAAGGCGACGAUCAGUAGCUGGUCUGAGAGGAUGAUCAGCCACAUUGGGACUGAGACACGGCCCAAACUCCUACGGGAGGCAGCAGUGGGGAAUAUUGGACAAUGGGGGCAACCCUGAUCCAGCAAUGCCGCGUGUGUGAAGAAGGUCUUCGGAUUGUAAAGCACUUUUGGCAGGGACGA
rnacentral:rRNA from 1 species